AUUGAACGCUGGCGGCAGGCCUAAUACAUGCAAGUCGAGCGGAUGAAGGGAGUUUGCUCAUGGAUUCAGCGGCGGACGAGGGAGUAAUGCCUAGGAAGCUGCCUGGGAGAGGGGGAUAACGUCCGCAAACGGGCGCUAAUACCGCAUACGCCCGUAGGGAGGAAGAGGGGUUUCUUCGGACCUUGCGCUAUCAGAUGAGCCUGGGUCGGUAUAGCUAGGUGGUGGGGUAGACGCCUACCAAGGCGGCGAUGCGUACCUGGUAUGAGAGGAAGAACAGGCAGAGUAGAAGUGAGAGUCGGCCCAGACUCCUACGGGAGGCAGCGGUGCAGAAUAUUGGGGGAAGGGGGAAAGGCUGAUCUAGGCAAGGCGCGUGAGUGAGAAAGAGCUUCGGAUUGUAAGCCACGUUGGGUUGCGAGGAAGAGAAGUAUGUUGAUAGCUACGUGUAUUGACGGUACCGACCGAAUAAGCCCCGGCUAACUUCGUG
rnacentral:rRNA from 1 species